GUGUGGGUCCUGUGCGACGGGGCGCCGUGAACCAUGUCAGGCGGGGAAUCGAGCAGCAUUAAGCGGUUAGCGCUGUGCGCCACAGUCCGCCUGCAUGCC
rnacentral:SRP_RNA from 2 species